UUAAUAGUGAACCACAAAGCCUUCAAAACCCUGUUUAUUUCAAUGCUCCUUUAGACUGUUCUUCAGUAUUCAGAGCCUGAAUGUAACAGCCCAGAAAAAAAAAAAAAUUACAGAACUCCUACUGCAGUGUGUGAGUCACUCAUGUUAUUUUGUCACAGUUUUAUCAUCCACUAUUACCUUAUGGCAUUUUGAUGAAUUUUUCUUCAUUAGGCUAUUUAGAAACCAAAUGGGAAGGUCAGGAUGAGCCUGUUUCUGACAAAAGUCUCCUCUAAACUUCGUUUUGCAUACUUGACAGGGAAUGUAGGCUGCAGAAUACAGUUGCACUGAUUUGAAGGAAUUGGAACAAUAUCUGGAGUCAGGUUCAGUGUUUCACCUCCUAAGGGAGGGGGAGAAGAUGCACUCAAAGGUUUUGCAGUGCUCCCUGAACCUGUCUAGGGACUGUCCUGUGCUCUGGGCUUGAGAGAUUACAGCAUGUUGUCUGCUCCCCCUUUUUUGUCUUUUGGCUGGUUCCACAGAAAAUCCUUGUUCUGGGAGCUGCAAGAGAAGAACCCAGUGAUGGUAACUGAGAUGUCAUGGGCAGUGACAAGUUGGGGAGCGUUUUCAAGAUUUCAGUAACAGAAGGUGCUUUACUUGAGUGCUUGAGUACUGAAGUGUUCAUCUAUUCCCAUAGAAGUCUGGCACACCAGAUACCUGCAGGAUGAUACUGAUUUCUGACACAGACUGGGCCUAGAGAAAGAGGAACUACUGCUCUGUACCUCACAGCAACCCCUGAAGAAAAGCUGAAUGAGCAGACUUCCUGUACCUGGAAAAUAACAGCCUACUGUUGACAUGGAGCCCAACAGGCAAACUUAGGCCACCAGCAGGACACAGCCAGGCUGGUAUGAACACCAGGAGCCUUCAGUCUUCUUAUCAGGGCUCUGAGAACUGACAGGCAUGUGAUUUGAGCUGGUACCCACGUGAGAUUGCGGUCCUGAGAGACGACAGGGGGCUUGCACCAUGGAGAGCACUCGUGGUCCUCCCUCCCCUGUGGUGCCCUGCAGCACAGAGGCUGCACAACAUAAAUAUGGAUGGGGUCACUCUCAGGGUGGGCCUCUCUCUCUGAAAACCAGGGCAGCUUUAGAAGUAAUUCAGGCAUGGUAGUGUAAUUUCACUCUAUUUAGAAGUAAAACCAUAUAUGUUUAAAAUGUUUGCUAGCUCCAGAACAGGCAUGUGUUACCUCUUGUAUGGUUCACGGUCAGUAUGCAGGUAAGCAAAUUUGACAUAUUAAAGCACCGGAAAAACACAUAUGAUUGAAGAUUUGGUAUGAUUUUUGCCUGUAAAUAUGUUUUCACAUUCAAAACUUAACUGAAAGCAGGCUUGACAGCGCCAUCAUUAUGGACUAAAAAAAGCAAGCGGUAGCUUUAGAAAACAAAUAGGUUUAAUUUCAAAAAAGCC
rnacentral:lncRNA from 1 species